rfam:Limnochorda pilosa DNA, complete genome, strain: HC45.
CGAGCCGGCUGGGCGGUCGCGGGUGCAGUGCCGAAAGGCCGCAUCCGAGGAAAGUCCGAGCUCCGCAGGGCAGGGUGCUGGGUAACACCCAGUGGGGGCGACCCCAAGGAAAGUGCCACAGAAAAGAAACCGCCCGUCGCAAGGCGGGUAAGGCUGAAACGGUGAGGUAAGAGCUCACCAGCGGCCAGGUGACUGGUCGGCUUGGUAAACCCCACCCGGAGCAAGACCGAGCAGGAGGGAACGUGAGGUGGCCCGCCUCUCCCUCGGGUAGGUCGCUGGAGGUGCCAGGCGACUGGCAUCCUAGAUAGAUGAUCGCCUUCGACAGAACUCGGAUUACAGGCCGACUCGCCGC